rnacentral:rRNA from 1 species
GACGAACGCUGGCGGCGUGCUUAACACAUGCAAGUCGAGCGGAAAGGCCACUUCGGUGGUACUCGAGCGGCGAACGGGUGAGUAACACGUGAGUAAUCUGCCCUUCACUCUGGGAUAGCCACCGGAAACGGUGAUUAAUACCGGAUACGACCACUCCACGCAUGUGGUGGUGGUGGAAACUUUUUGGGUGGGGGAUGUGCUCGCGGCCUAUCAGCUUGUUGGUGGGGUAAUGGCCUACCAAGGCUUCGACGGGUAGCCGGCCUGAGAGGGUGACCGGCCACACUGGGACUGAGACACGGCCCAGACUCCUACGGGAGGCAGCAGUGGGGAAUAUUGGACAAUGGGCGGAAGCCUGAUCCAGCAACGCCGCGUGAGGGAUGACGGCCUUCGGGUUGUAAACCUCUUUCAGCACCGACGAAGCGCAAGUGACGGUAGGUGCAGAAGAAGGACCGGCCAACUACGUGCCAGCCGCCGCGGUAA